GAAACUCAUAUUUAGACAAAAUACAGAUAAAAUCGCAUUUAUUGAAGGAUUAUUAUAAAACCUAACGUACUUCAAUUUCCCUCACGGACCAAAACCGCAGGCAUGAAUGUCAAAAUGCCAAAGGACCAUCUAUGGAGGAUUAAACAGAAAUGGACACAAUGUCAAGAUCAAAGAGGCUGCACUCGUUUUUCUGCGAUAUGCCGGACCCAAACCCCACAGCUUGACCGACAGAUCCCGACCAACCAAGACACUUCGAGCCUUGACAUGGCCAUGGAUGUAGUUCUUACUAUGCAGAUACUCCUGUGAUUUCAGAACAGAUGCAAUCUGAGCGCCCAUGGUAAAGAUUUGUCUUUCAGUCAUGUCACACGGUGCCUCCUGACCUGUGUGGUCCUGUGAAAGAGAUUUACAGCCAGUCAAAACAAAGGAAGCUCAGCAGGUCACGGUGUUCCAGCUCCUCUACGGCAAUCAUCAACGGUGUCCGCACAGACACCACCCCCAGCA